rnacentral:rRNA from 1 species
CGUAGGGCGCAAGCGUUAUCCGGAAUUAUUGGGCGUAAAGAGCUCGUAGGCGGUUUGUCGCGUCUGCUGUGAAAGACCGGGGCUCAACUCCGGUUCUGCAGUGGGUACGGGCAGACUAGAGUGCAGUAGGGGAGACUGGAAUUCCUGGUGUAGCGGUGAAAUGCGCAGAUAUCAGGAGGAACACCGAUGGCGAAGGCAGGUCUCUGGGCUGUAACUGACGCUGAGGAGCGAAAGCAUGGGAGCGAACAGGAUU